CGAAUGGCUCAUUAAAUCAGUUAUCGUUUAUUUGAUAAUACCUACUACUUGGAUAACCGUGGUAAUUCUAGAGCUAAUACAUGCUGAAAAUCCCGACGGAAGGGAUGUGUUUAUUAGAUAAAAAACCAAUGCCCUUCGGGGCUCUUUGGUGAUUCAUGAUAACUUUACGGAUCGCAUAGCCUUGCGCUGGCGACGGUUCAUUCAAAUUUCUGCCCUAUCAACUUUCGAUGGUAAGGUAUUGGCUUACCAUGGUUUCAACGGGUAACGGGGAAUUAGGGUUCGAUUCCGGAGAGGGAGCCUGAGAAACGGCUACCACAUCCAAGGAAGGCAGCAGGCGCGCAAAUUACCCAAUCCCGACACGGGGAGGUAGUGACAAUAAAUACUGAUACAGGGCUCUUUUGGGUCUUGUAAUUGGAAUGAGUACAAUUUAAACCUCUUAACGAGGAACAAUUGGAGGGCAAGUCUGGUCCAGCAGCCGCGGUAAUUCCAGCUCCAAUAGCGUAUAUUAAAGUUGUUGCAGUUAAAAAGCUCGUAGUUGAAACUUGGGCCUGGCUGGCGGGUCCGCCUCACCGCGUGCACUCGUCCGGCCGGGCCUUCCUUCUGAAGAACCUCAUGCCCUUCACUGGGCGUGUGGGGAUCAGGACUUUUACUUUGAAAAAAUUAGAGUGUUCAAAGCAGGCUUUGCUCGAAUA
rnacentral:rRNA from 2 species